rnacentral:rRNA from 1 species
CGGUCGGCCCUCCUGGGGGAGGCAGCAGGCCCAGACUCUUACCAGAGGCAGCAAUCGGGAAUCUUCGGCAAUGGGUGAAAGCCGGAGGCAGGGAGGUCGUAAGACCGAAUAAGACGUUAGGGUCGUAAAACUGGAUAACAGCGUAAGAAGGAAAGACUGCACCCCAAGAAAGCCCCGGCUAACUACGUGCCAGCAGCCGCGGUAAGACGUAGGGGGCGAGCGUUGUCCGGAGUUACUGGGCGUAAAGGGCGCGUAGGCGGUUUAGCAAGUCAGGUGUAAAAGACCACGGCUCAACCGUGGAGGUGCACCUGAAACUGCUAGGCUAGAGGGCAGGAGAGGGGAGUGGAAUUCCCGGUGUAGCGGUGAAAUGCGUAGAUAUCGGGAGGAAUACCAGUGGCGAAAGGCG